rnacentral:lncRNA from 1 species
GAACAAUACAAUACACCAACCAGCCCAUUUCAGAACGAACUUCGUACGAACCUGAAUUGUCAAAUUUCGUGGACCGAUCGAUAUCGGAUUGAGUCCAAAACUUGGGGAACAUCAUAAUAUUGUGGGAGGAGUCAUUUGGUGGGUUUUGAGUUAAAUCCAAUCUCUAGAACUAUACGAUACACAACCACCCCAUUUCAGAACGAACUUCGUACGAACCUGAAUUGUCAAAUUUCGUGGACCGAUCGAUAUUGGAUUGAGUCCAAAACUUGGGGAACAUCAUAAUAUUGUGGGAGGAGUCAUUUGGUAUGUUUUGAGUGAAAUACAAACCCUAGAACUAUACAAUACACCA